rnacentral:tRNA from 1 species
UGGGGUAUCGCCAAGCGGUAAGGCACCGGAUUCUGAUUCCGGCAUUCCGAGGUUCGAAUCCUCGUNAUUCUUCGA